AGGAUGAACGCUGGCGGCGUGCCUAAUACAUGCAAGUCGAGCGGUAAGGCCACUUCGGUGGUACACGAGCGGCGGACGGCUGAGUAACGCGUAGGAACGUACCCCAAACUGAGGCAUAAGCACCAGAAAUGGUGUCUAAUACCGCAUGUGCUCUUCGGAGUAAAGCUUCGGCGGUUUGGGAACGGCCUGCGUCCGAUUAGCUUGUUGGUGAGGUAAUGGCUCACCAAGGCGACGAUCGGUAGCUGGUCUGAGAGGAUGAUCAGCCAGACUGGGACUGAGAACGGCCCAGACUCCUACGGGAGGCAGCAGUAGGGAAUUUUCCACAAUGGGCGAAAGCCUGAUGGAGCAACGCCGCGUGCAGGAUGAAGGCCUUCGGGUUGUAAACUGCUUUUAUCUGUGAAGAUUAUGACGGUAGCAGAUGAAUAAGGAUCGGCUAACUCCGUGCCAGCAGCCGC
rnacentral:rRNA from 1 species